GACAAGAUAGUUUAAAGUAAAACAUUCGUUUCAUACACGAAAAUUAAGGAUUCAUACCCUUUCCUGUCA
rfam:Zancudomyces culisetae strain COL-18-3 mitochondrion, complete sequence, whole genome shotgun sequence.